CAGCUUGCUGCUUUGCUGACGAGUGGCGGACGGGUGAGUAAUGUCUGGGAAACUGCCUGAUGGAGGGGGAUAACUACUGGAAACGGUAGCUAAUACCGCAUAACGUCGCAAGACCAAAGAGGGGGACCUUCGGGCCUCUUGCCAUCGGAUGUGCCCAGAUGGGAUUAGCUAGUAGGUGGGGUAAAGGCUCACCUAGGCGACGAUCCCUAGCUGGUCUGAGAGGAUGACCAGCCACACUGGAACUGAGACACGGUCCAGACUCCUACGGGAGGCAGCAGUGGGGAAUAUUGCACAAUGGGCGCAAGCCUGAUGCAGCCAUGCCGCGUGUAUGAAGAAGGCCUUCGGGUUGUAAAGUACUUUCAGCGGGGAGGAAGGGAGUAAAGUUAAUACCUUUGCUCAUUGACGUUACCCGCAGAAGAAGCACCGGCUAACUCCGUGCCAGCAGCCGCGGUAAUACGGAGGGUGCAAGCGUUAAUCGGAAUUACUGGGCGUAAAGCGCACGCAGGCGGUUUGUUAAGUCAGAUGUGAAAUCCCCGGGCUCAACCUGGGAACUGCAUCUGAUACUGGCAAGCUUGAGUCUCGUAG
rnacentral:rRNA from 1 species